rnacentral:rRNA from 1 species
UUAGGAAUUUUGGGCAAUGGGCGCAAGCCUGACCCAGCAACGCCGCGUGGGUGACGAAGGCCUUCGGGUUGUAAAGCCCUUUUCUGAGGGAAGAUGAUGACGGUACCUCAGGAAGAAGCACCGGCUAACUACGUGCCAGCAGCCGCGGUAAUACGUAGGGUGCGAGCGUUGCCCGGAUUUAUUGGGCGUAAAGGGCGCGUAGGCGGUCACGCACGUCCGUUGUGAAAUCGCUCGGCUCAACUGGGCGGGGUCAGCGGAUACGGCGUGGCUGGAGCAAGCUAGGGGGCAAUGGAAUUCCCGGUGUAGUGGUGGAAUGCGUAGAUAUCGGGAGGAACACCAGUGGCGAAGGCGGUUGCCUGGAGCUUUGCUGACGCUGAUGCGCGAAAGCGUGGGGAGCGAUCCG